CAUUUCGUUAUCCGGCCAAGAGUUCAAUCCCAUGGUGGCCGGUUAAGAAGGCGCCUUCUGUAUUCUGGAAACAAAUCCAAUUAUAUUAAAGUAUAAGGCAAUGAUUGAGAAGGUGACCGGCAGACAACUGGUGUUAUCGAGAAAAAACACCGUUUUUAAUAUCACUAGGAAUGAUAAAGAUAGGCGGGACCCACUAAAUAUGCCGGGUGUAUAUGAAAUAAAAGUCGAUAAUAAGGAUACCAAUGAAGAAGAAAUAUAUAUUGGUUCAACAGCCAGGUCCAUUAGAAAAAGGCUACACGAGCAC
rnacentral:lncRNA from 1 species